rnacentral:rRNA from 1 species
GGUUAAAAAGCUCGUAGUUGGAUUUCUGUUGAGGACGGCCGGUCCGCACUAUGUGCGUGUAUCUGGUUCGGCCUUGGCAUCCUCUUGAGGAACGUUCCUGCGCUUGAUUGCGUGGGGCGGUAUUCAAGACUUUUACUUUGAGGAAAUUAGAGUGUUCACGGCAGGCAAGCGCCUUGAAUACAUUAGCAUGGAAUAAUAAUAUAGGAUCUUGGUUCUAUUUGUUGGUUUCUAGGGCUAAGGUAAUGAUUAAUAGGGAUAAUUGGGGGCAUUUGUAUUAACGCGUCAGAGGUGGAAUUCUUGGAUUGCGUUACGACAAACUACUGCGAAAGCAUUUGCCAAGGAUGUUUUCAUUGAUCAAGAACGAAAGUAUGGGGAUCGAAGAUGAUUAGAUACCGUCGUAGUCUAUACCAUAAACUAUGCCGACUAGGGAUUGGAGGUCGUUCUUUUUAUGACUCCUUCAGCACCUUAUGAGAAAUCAAAGUCUUUGGGUUCCGGGGGG